AUAUAUAUAUAUAUAUUGAUAAACAAGGCAAUAUAAGCAAUUAGCAAAAAAUCAUAAUAAUAUCAAGAUAUGAGGCAGCUAUUAUGGAUGGUCUUACGCUUCUUAUUUGUUAUUCUUAUUCUGUCUCAACAUCCCUCCUUUGCCGCUCCCGUCCGCUCCUGUAGUAAAGAAGAUAAUGAAGAACGAGGUGCUCUGGACUGUUCCCCAAAACGAGCUCCUCCACCCCCAGCAGGAGGUGUUGGUGGAAAUCAUUAACAAGAGACACUACAAGAAAUAAUAAUUUUAUACACGACUCUAUCAGGGCGAUUCUAUGUCGACUCUAAUAUUCAUAUUUAUAUAUAUAGCUAUUAAUCAUGAUGUUGUGAAAUUUUAUCAUAUGUCAACCGAUUAUAUAUGAUAACAUUCGUUCUACCUAUUUCGUUUGAUGUGGGAAUAUUGUGUUUUACUAUUUUCAUCACAUGUGUGCGUAAUGUAUUGCUCUGCAAACUCUUCUUGAAUAACUAUUUUCACAGUUAUAUUCUUCUCAAUAAAUUUUUGUCAUUUUAUUU